AUUCUUAUUUGGCAGGGUGAAUGCCAUGAUCAAGAACGUGGUUUCUCUAGGGUGAGUUUUUUCCCUGCACAAAUUGUAUGGCAUGACGCUUAUGAUUUCCCCAAAUGUGAAAACCACAACUGCAUAAUUUUUCAUAGUGGCUGAUUGCGUUCGCUCAGUCCCUUG